rnacentral:sRNA from 1 species
GGCACGGGAGUGUCCCGCGAGGAGAAGGCAGGAGCUUUGAAACUGCUCCCAAGCGAGAGGAAGGGGGAGGAUCUAGAACUGGGGAGGGGUCACAGGGACUGGCGGCAGUACAGGGGAACUUGCUGGUGAGGUACACUCUGCCCCAGCCUCGGGCUUGGGUAUCAGAAACACUGGGGUAUGGCCCACAGGCUGGUCAGCAGGUCCUCAGACGUGGCAGCUGCAGGCUUCGGGUGAAGGCCAUGCUGGACGACAUCCUGGAGAAGAUUCCGGAGACUUUCAACAUGGCUGAGAUCAUGGCAAAGGCAGCGGAAAAGACCCCCUACGUGGUAGUCGCCUUUCAAGAAUGUGAAAGAAUGAACAUCCUGACCAACGAAAUGCGCCGUUCGCUGAAGGAGCUGAACCUGGGGCUGA